UGGUACUGGACCUGAAAAUGUUUAGGUAGAAGUGUAGAACUUUAAGUCCAGAGGGAAGCAAGAAAAUUAUUCAGCACAGAAUUGCAGAAGUCCCAACUACAUGCAAGUCACCUGCUUUUUCUUACAGGUAUAAACCUCGGCUUCUUUAUCUUUCCCCCCCUCUCCCCUCAGCCCAAACGCAUCUGAAAUUCCUAGGAUGCCAGAAGCCUUCAGUGAAAAUGAGUUAUGUCUGCUCAAGCUCUUGCAAGCUUUUGCAAACUCAAGCCAAAAGAAUUUGGGUCAGCCCAGCGAAAGGCCAGGGAUGAAAAGAAUGCUACAGGGCAUUGCAUGCCAAAACAAAGGAGACCCAGAGAAAGUUUUUAUCCUUGUGUCAUCACUCUACUGAACAGUAUAUUAACCCAUGUAGUAUGGUUGUAUUACUUUUAUCCGUCUCACUUGUUC